CUGAGGCGGUGCGUCAAGCGCCGCCUCUUUCUCAUCAUAUAUUGUGACAAAUGUGGAGAAAGGCUGGUGGGAGGCCCAGCCGUGGCCGCACACCUGGCGGGUGCGGCCCAUCUAACCCGUUACUGGGAGGGCCGGCAGGUCGGGCUGCUGUUGCAGUCCGACUACCGGGACGCCGUGGAGCGUAUUAGGACCCUAUGAUGAUGAUGUAUGAAGGUCUGGACCUGCCGUCUUCGGGAUGUGCCAUUUGUUUCAAAAUUAUUUACUCAUCCAAGUCCAUUUAAAUAAAAGUGCAUUAUAGUAAA